UGCUUUUAUAUCCAAAUAAUAGUAAUCACUUAACAUGACACUCAUAUAUCAUGUACAAAAUUUUACUACACUCACAGACGCACUGUUGUGUCAUACACACAAUCGCGCUGCUGUUUCACUCCUGUGGUGUGAACUUUUUGUUGUGUUGCUAAAUUGAGAGUAUAAUAAAAAAAAAUAGAGAAAACAAGAAAGGGGGCAUACCCCGCUAAACUGCAAUAUCAGGCACAUCAAAAAUAGGCCAAUGAUGCAAGUGCUAUAACCAAAAAGGCUAUAACUGCCAGACCCUAAUAUAAGGGUAUUUGUCUAAAUAUUUACUAAAUUUCUUGACAUUGUACAUCUUACAUUUAAUAAUCUUAAUACAAUCUUGAGCAAUUAUAGAAGCGACAGUAGGAUGUUCUUCAUGAAGUCUUCGAUUUCGUUCAUUCCAUAAUUUGUAGACCAUCGUAGCCAAACAGAGUUUAAUGAUGCGGGAUGACAUCCAAUUAAUCCUAGUAAACUGAAUAUGGCUCACAAGCUGCUCCCAAGAGAAAGGAAUUCCGAACCAGCCACGAUGAGCCAAAACAGUUUUUAAAGGUAAGAAUUUUAACUAAAUCCCUACUUUUACCACAUAGUUAAGCUAUCCCCAUCAGUUUGUCUGAUAACUGUAACAUUCAUGUUCCCACAUCAGAACACGUGGGUCAAUUUAUAAGCACAACAAAGCAUAAAGCGAAUUGAAACUACACGAAGCUAUAGCAAGUAUAGAUAAAAUUAAAUAAUAUAAAUGGUCUUUUAAGUCGAAAUUAUCACAAUUUUAGUGGGUUCCAAAGUAAAAUUAGUAAACAUGGUCCAACCCAAUAUAUGAACAACAAAGCAUAAAGCGAAUUGAAACUACACGAAGCACUAGCAAAGCAAUUUAUCAAUUAGAGUAAAAAACCCAAUAUAAAAAAAAUUAAAUAAAAUGGUGUUUUAAGCCAAAAUUAACAUAAUUUUAGUGGGUUCCAAAGUACUAAAAAAAUUAAGCAUGGUCCAACAAUAUUGGCCACUAAUGGAAGGCAAUUUAAUCAAAUUAUAAGAACAACAAGGCAUUAACCAAAUUGAAACUACAAGAAGAAACCCAUGAACUUAAAAUAAAAUAAAGCAUAGAAUGACAAACCUGUAUGAAGCUGAAUUUUAACUAUCCCCUCAUUGCUUCUCAAACUUAAAAAGAAGGAGAUAUAAGAAUGAAAUUGUAUAAAAAGGCUAAUUAUAAUCAAAUGGGUUGAAUUUUCCGAUAAAGAGCGACGACUGAGACUCUUGACUUGAGAGAAAACGAAGUUUCGGAGUUUUCAGGAAGGGGAGAGAGAGAGAGGGUUUAAUGGUAAUAAAUAUUAUGGUUGAAGAAUUUGGUUAGCUUUGUAAAGAGGUAGCAAACACUCCACUGGAAAAAGCCUUGCAGCUGCGGAGUGUCUUAACUAAUUUUGUCUAUAUGUGUGAAAU
rnacentral:lncRNA from 1 species